CCUACGGGAGACAGCAGUGAGGAAUAUUGGUCAAUGGGCGCGAGCCUGAACCAGCCAAGUAGCGUGAAGGAUGACUGCCCUACGGGUUGUAAACUUCUUUUAUAAAGGAAUAAAGUGAGGCACGUGUGCCUUUUUGUAUGUACUUUAUGAAUAAGGAUCGGCUAACUCCGUGCCAGCAGCCGCGGUAAUACGGAGGAUCCGAGCGUUAUCCGGAUUUAUUGGGUUUAAAGGGUGCGUAGGCGGCCUUUUAAGUCAGCGGUGAAAGUCUGUGGCUCAACCAUAGAAUUGCCGUUGAAACUGGGGGGCUUGAGUAUGUGUGAGGCAGGCGGAAUGCGUGGUGUAGCGGUGAAAUGCUUAGAUAUCACGCAGAACCCCGAUUGCGAAGGCAGCCUGCCAAGCCAUGACUGACGCUGAUGCACGAAAGCGUGGGGAUCAAACAGGAUUAGAUACCCGGGUAGUC
rnacentral:rRNA from 1 species